AUUGAACGCUGGCGGCAUGCCUUACACAUGCAAGUCGAACGGCAGCACGGGAGCAAUCCUGGUGGCGAGUGGCGAACGGGUGAGUAAUAUAUCGGAACGUGCCCAGUCGUGGGGAUAACGUAGCGAAAGUUACGCUAAUACCGCAUACGAUCUAAGGAUGAAAGCGGGGGAUCGCAAGACCUCGCGCGAUUGGAGCGGCCGAUAUCAGAUUAGGUAGUUGGUGGGGUAAAGGCUCACCAAGCCAACGAUCUGUAGCUGGUCUGAGAGGACGACCAGCCACACUGGAACUGAGACACGGUCCAGACUCCUACGGGAGGCAGCAGUGAGGAAUAUUGGUCAAUGGGCGCAAGUCUGAUCCAGCAAUGCCGCGUGCA
rnacentral:rRNA from 1 species